CCAAAUGGAUUACCUCUGUCAUUGAGUGACCAGGCAUAAAACCAAAUUGAUUCUUUGAAAUGGACACUACUUUCCUCAAUCUCCGCUCGACCACCCUCUUUCAAAUCUUCAUAGUGUGACUCAACAACUUAAUACCCCUAUAGUUGUUGCAACUCUGAACAUCGCUCUUGUUUUUAUAUAACAGAAUCAUCGUACUCCAUCUCCAAGCCUCAUGCAUCCAUCGUAACAUGUAAUACUUCUAAAUCAAUUCAGAUUUUACCUUAUGUAAAAAAGGAUUUCUACAUUCUAUAUAAGUAAUAUUUUG
rnacentral:lncRNA from 1 species